rnacentral:rRNA from 1 species
GAUGAACGCUAGCGACAGGCUUAACACAUGCAAGUCGAGGGGCAACGGGACGUAGCAAUACGUUGCCGGCGACCGGCGGAUGGGUGAGUAACGCGUAUGCAACCUACCCACGACAGGGGGAUAGCCCGUUGAAAGACGGAUUAAUACCCCAUAAAACAGGGGUUCCGCAUGGGACUAUUUGUUAAAGGGUUCUCCGCGAGGGGGACCUCGGUUGUGGAUGGGCAUGCGUUCCAUUAGGCAGUUGGUGAGGUAACGGCUCACCAAACCGACGAUGGAUAGGGGAACCGAGAGGUUGGUCCCCCACACUGGUACUGAGAUACGGACCAGACUCCUACGGGAGGCAGCAGUGAGGAAUUUUGGUCAAUGGACGGAAGUCUGAACCAGCCAAGUCGCGUGAAGGAAGGCGGCCCUAAGGGUUGUAAACUUCUUUUGUAAGGGAAUAAAGUGCGUUACGUGUAGUGCAUUGCAAGUACCUUACGAAUAAGGAUCGGCUAACUCCGUG